rnacentral:tRNA from 1 species
GAGGGUAUAGCUCAGUGGUAGAGCGCCAUGCUUAGCAUGCACAAGGUCAUGGGUUCCAUCCCCAGUACCGCCA